rnacentral:rRNA from 1 species
GAUGAACGCUGGCGGCGUGCCUAAUACAUGCAAGUCGAGCGAACAGACGAGGAGCUUGCUCCUCUGACGUUAGCGGCGGACGGGUGAGUAGCACGUGGAUAACCUACCUAUAAGGCUGGGAUAACUUCGGGAAACCGGAGCUAAUACCGGAUAAUAUAUUGAACCGCAUGGUUCAAUAGUGAAAGACGGUUUUGCUGUCACUUAUAGAUGGAUCCGCGCCGCAUUAGCUAGUUGGUAAGGUAACGGCUUACCAAGGCAACGAUGCGUAGCCGACCUGAGAGGGUGAUCGGCCACACUGGAACUGAGACACGGUCCAGACUCCUACGGGAGGCAGCAGUAGGGAAUCUUCCGCAAUGGGCGAAAGCCUGACGGAGCAACGCCGCGUGAGUGAUGAAGGUCUUCGGAUCGUAAAACUCUGUUAUUAGGGAAGAACAAAUGUGUAAGUAACUAUGCACGUCUUGACGGUACCUAAUCAGAAAGCCACGGCUAACUACGUG